CAAGUACUUAUUUUUCUUGUCCAUAAUCUGUGAAUCCUGCUGAAAUCAGCUAGACUUUGCUCCAGGAUGAGGGAUUGGUCCAAUUCUGUUCCAUCUUUCCACGCAUCUUUCAUCAGGUUAUUAGGAAAGAGUACACUUCACUGGCUGCUCUACUGGGAGGCUUUAUCUCCAUUAAGUGAACCACAGAGAAAAAAGAAGAGAAGAGUUUUACUUCUGUCAUCUGGUGAUACAUUGCUUUGGUGAAUACAAGAAACCACAGGAUAAGCAACAGGGCUCUUUGGUAAAUUCCACAGGCUCUCCUGAUAGGGCAGCCAAGUCUUUUCCCAGUAGCCAGCCCUUUGCACUAAAACAUGUGGAUUUUAUUUCUAUGGAUGUUGUGAGUGUGGACCUAAACUUCUCUAAGAGAACUUGUAUUUCUCAAGCCUAAAGAUGUAUUACAUUUUUUUGUAUUUGUAUUUGAUCCACAUAAAGAAGGGGAAAAAAAUUUGUGUGUGUGGAUAGCAUUCCAAGAAGGAACUCUAGCCCCAGGAAAGCUGCUAUUUCUGCUCUUCUCCAGCUACCUGCCAACAAUUUGUCCUCAAAAGAGGCUCUUUCUGACUAUUUACAGAUCUGUCACUUACAGAUUGGCAAUUUUCAUGCAUUUCAUUCUGCUUUGCUUUACUUCAUACUGGCAUCAUCUUUAUCAGAAGGAUAUAUAAAUAUAGAUAUAUGGAUAUCGUUUGUCUUCCCUUUCUCCACAUUAACAUAUUCCAUGAGUGCAGGAAGUGAAAUGGCAUCUUUAUUUCAUUACUCUCUGGUCCAUAAUACAUUCCCUGGCACAAAGGGAACACUUAAAUACUUAACUAUCAAAAUAAAAAAAUAAAUAAAAUCACUGGAUAUGGAACAUGCUCAUUAUUAAAUGUUUUUCUAGCACUCUACCAGAAAACUAUCAGCCACUGUUCCACCACGGUGCUUUCCCUCUCUUGCUUCUUGCACCUCCUCUGAUGUUCUUCCUUUUUGUUAGUUCCAGUUCCACAUCACAGUCACGCAAAUGUAAGAGAAUGGAGAAUGCAGUCCUUUCUCAGCUGGGCACAAAGUAAUGCUGAGUGAAACAGAAGUUGUUAUUGUGGAAGAGCUUCCAGUCGAUUUUG
rnacentral:lncRNA from 1 species